UCGCAGCUGCACUUGAGGCAGCUGUAUUUCCAGGCUGAGCAGAAGAGUUCAGUUAAGCUGCCGAUUAAUGUGAGUCUCAGUUUUCCCACAUAGCAGGGUCCAAGCAGUUUAGUCUGUAACAGGAUUUACCCCUCUGCCAAAAAGAGCUGGAAAAGAAAGGAGGGAUGCAAACAGACAUACAGGAGUGCCAUCACUGGUGCUGGUGACUUCGUUCUUCACGUUGGGAUGUUUUCUGCUAUCAGCUCACUUCAGGAUAGUUGGUGACACCUCACUGGGGGUACUCCAGAACCAUCUGGAUGCAAUCCUGUGCAAUGUGCUCCAGGAUGACUCUGUUUGAGCAGGGAGGUUGGACCAUUGACCCACUGGGGUCCCUUCCAACCCUGACCCCUCCCGUGAUUCUGUGAAACCGAACCCAGCCAAGGGCUGGAGAAGAGCCCCUGAAAUUCUUGAAAUCUUGAAGAGCCCUUGAAAUUUCUCUUGAAAUUCUCCCAUCUUAGUCUAGGCUUGGGGGACUGCUGGACUGUAACAGGUAAGGGAGACCAGAGCAAAGGUUGCUGCUACCUGCAAAGCUGCUGUGGGAGAGUGGCUCAUAUCUGAGCUGGAAGCAGGUCAAGGACUGGUGGAUCAGUUCCCAGCAGCAGUCAUGGGGAUGGCCUGGAGGAAGCAGCUGAAAGCAAACAAACACAGGGUUUUUACUCCUUCAGAGAACUGUCUGGGUCACCUCCUUAUCUGUGAUUUGUGUUUCUCAAGAAUAGGCUGCUCAACUAUCUGGAUAAGAGGACUCACCACCUUGGAAUUAGAGCUGGGAAAUGUUUUUGGAAAAACAGAAGAGGUGCUGGAGGAGAAUAGUGUUGUCUCUCUGGCCUGGCAGGUCACAGCUGAAAUUAAUCAUGAGAGAUUUAGCACUGAAGUGGGGGAGAAAGCUGAAAAACUAGGAGAGGCACUGCUCGAACAGUGGCGAGCCCAAUGUAUCUUUCCAAAAAGAAGGAUGGAGGAUUUGCUCGGUUGUUUUUAAGGAACCAUGACUGAACACAGAGGGAACAGGGAGAUCUGCUGAAAAUUGAAAAUACUGGAGACAGUAAAGUGUGUUGUGCAAGGGCUUCUGUUGGCCAGAAGAAGUGAAAUAACAGCUCACUUCCUAAAAUGGAGAUAUCCUCACAUUUUGUUCCUGGCUGAGGAGAACAGCAUUAUUUGCCAUAUAUCUGACAAGUAUCAGGGCAUUUUGCACCCUAUAAAAUUCCUGUAAUUUACCUGAAACUGCCAGUAAAUUGACUUAAACCUAAAUAGUGUAUCUUCCUUGAAAAGAAGCCACUGUUCUGUGGGGUUUUUGUUUGUUUGU